rnacentral:rRNA from 1 species
UACGUAGGGUGCAAGCGUUAAUCGGAAUUAUUGGGCGUAAAGAGCUCGUAGGCGGUUUGUCGCGUCUGCCGUGAAAGUCCGGGGCUUAACCCCGGAUCUGCGGUGGGUACGGGCAGACUAGAGUGCAGUAGGGGAGACUGGAAUUCCUGGUGUAGCGGUGAAAUGCGCAGAUAUCAGGAGGAACACCGAUGGCGAAGGCAGGUCUCUGGGCAUUAACUGACGCUGAGGAGCGAAAGCAUGGGGAGCGAACAGG